GCUGGAUCAUACAGGAGAAGGCCGUUUGGAAGGAAGAAACCCCCUUUUUAUGCCAAUAACUUUGGAUGUUAUGAGAACGUGCUAGCUUGUAAAGCACUCUGAACAUUAAGGCCAAAUCCUGUUCCCGCUGAAGUCCAAAGAAACUGGCACGACUGUCAGAACUAUCAGGUCCCUGAACACUUCAUACAGGGCUCCCUGCAUUACACACUUGGCAGAGGAAAGAGAACACACACCAGACCCUACAACAACAAUGUCCUGGCAGCACAGAAUGAAUAUUUUAGGAGUUUUCCUUUCAAAGGCAAGGUAAAUAAUAUCUGAAACUUGUUUAAUGACA